GUCCUCUUCUAGCCGGUUGCAAUAGAAAGAGAUUUCAAAGGUUAAAGUGCGUGGCUUUGGUCGUAUUUCGAAUGGGAUAGCAAGCGAUAGUCAUUCCCUACAUGCGUGAAAGCCUCACAUAAGGAGAAAUCUCAGAAGAAGUAGCAACAUUCAGCCAGUGAAAGAUAAAUAAUCGAUUCCAUUAGCAUCCAAAAUGUCAAUUUCUUGUUGUUUGUUGAUUUGGUAGUGGUCUCAUUAAUUGAUUUGGUAGAGUAGUUAAUAUGAUUUGUAUCUUUAGAUUCGUCAAGUGUUGAUGUCUAGGUAGUAAAUAAGAGGGUGUAGUUUAUGAUCUCUGUUUUAACUAAAAAAUUAAUGGUGAUGCAAUAGUUGAUGUAACUAUCUAUUUAUAUAUCUUGCAUUUGCUUUAAUUUAUGUAACUAUAGCUAUUUAUAUAAAGGUGAGAGUAUAACUAAGUUUGUAUAACUAGUUGAAGCUUUAGUUGUACUUGAUAU